UUGUAUGAGUUCAGGCCCCUCUACAGUGGAUGUAAUAGCCCUACGUCUCAGUGCUCUGGGAGCUUGUUGUCGAGUGGAAUAUGGAAUACAAUGAGUUGCCAACCCCUGCACCAGUGGGGGAGGGUGGCUUAUAUAGAGUGCGCUGCCCUCCACAACGGUUCGGUAUACAGGGGUGGAGUAGUGGCGAAUAAAUGCCUACGUUACAGGUAACGUACGUCUUAAAUGCUAAUAAAGGCGCAUGGAAACGUAUGACCGUUUCCCCCCAGGGGUGUUACGAUGCACAAAGUGGAAUCGAGUCGGUUAGUUUGAUAUACUCCGGAUGCGCGUUUCCGACUGGAUGGUCGAGGAUCUCCUACCGACUGGAUGAUGGGAACUUCUUAGUUCAGUCGGAACUGACUAAGGGCCUUGUCCCUUAUGAGGGGUAGUCCUUGGGUAGGACCUACAGGGCAGGCCUAUGACCCUACCCUAGGACUAUGACCCCAUCAUCAGCAAAAACCUAAGGUUAAGAA
rnacentral:lncRNA from 1 species